AGAGUUUGAUCCUGGCUCAGGACGAACGCUUGUGGCGUGCCUAAUACAUGCAAGUCAAACGCUUUUUCUUUCACCGGAGCUUGCUCCACCGAAAGAAAAGGAGUGGCGAACGGGUGAGUAACACGUGGGUAACCUGCCCAUCAGAAGGGGAUAACACUUGGAAACAGGUGCUAAUACCGUAUAACAAUCGAAACCGCAGUGGUUUCGGUUUGAAAGGCGCUUUUGCGUCACUGAUGGAUGGACCCGCGGUGCAUUAGCUAGUUGGUGAGGUAACGGCUCACCAAGGCAACGAUGCAUAGCCGACCUGAGAGGGUGAUCGGCCACAUUGGGACUGAGACACGGCCCCAACUCCUACGGGAGGCAGCAGUAGGGAAUCUUCGGCAAUGGACGAAAGUCUGACCGAGCAACGCCGCGUGAGUGAAGAAGGUUUUCGGAUCGUAAAACUCUGUUGUUAGAGAAGAACGAGGAUGAGAGUAAAAUGUUCAUCCCUUGACGGUAUCUAACCCGAAAGCCACGGCUAACUACGUGCCAGCAGCCGCGGUAAUACGUAGGUGGCAAGCGUUGUCCGGAUUUAUUGGGCGUAAAGCGAGCGCAGGCGGUUUCUUAAGUUUGAUGUGAAAGCCCCCGGCUCAACCCGGGAGGGUCAUUGGAAACUGGGAAACUUGAGUGCAGAAGAGGAGAGUGGAAUUCCAUGUGUAGCGGUGAAAUGCGUAGAUAUAUGGAGGAACACCAGUGGCGAAGGCGGCUCUCUGGUCUGCAACUGACGCUGAGGCUCGAAAGCGUGGGGAGCAAACAGGAUUAGAUACCCUGGUAGUCCACGCCGUAAACGAUGAGUG
rnacentral:rRNA from 1 species